AGCUUUGCGCAGUGGCAGUAUUGUAGCCAAUGAGGUUUAUCCAAGGCGUGAUUAUUGCUAAUAUUUAACAAAUUAUUGGUACUUUUUUUCAAGUGUCAAUGAAAGUGUAUUCCCAUCUUAAGC
rnacentral:snRNA from 1 species